rnacentral:rRNA from 1 species
CGGUAAUACGGAGGAUCCAAGCGUUAUCCGGAAUCAUUGGGUUUAAAGGGUCCGUAGCGGUCUUUUAAGUCAGAGGUGAAAUCCUACAGCUCAACUGUAGAAUUGCCUUUGAUACUGAAAGACUUGAGUUAUUGUGAAGUAGUUAGAAUGUGUGGUGUAGCGGUGAAAUGCAUAGAGAUCACACAGAAUACCGAUUGCGAAGGCAGAUUACUAACAAUAUACUGACGCUGAGGGACGAAAGCGUGGGUAGCGAACAGGAUUAGAUACCCUGGUAGUCCACGCCGUAAACGAUGGAUACUAGCUGUUCGACCAACAUUGGUUGGUUGAGUGGCUAAGCGAAAGUGAUAAGUAUCCCACCUGGGGAGUACGGUCGCAAGACUGAAACUCAAAGGAAUUGACGGGGGCCGCACAAGCGGUGGAGCAUGUGGUUUAAUUCGAUGAUACGCGAGGAACCUUACCAGGGCUUAAAUGUAAGUUGCAUGAUUUAGAGAUAGAUCUUUCUUCGGACUACUUACAAGGUGCUGCAUGGUUGUCGUCAGCUCGUGCCGUGAGGUGUCAGGUUAAGUCCUAUAACGAGCGCAACCCCUGUCGUUAGUUGCCAGCAAGUUAAGUUGGGCAC